rnacentral:rRNA from 1 species
GACAGAGGAUGCAAGCGUUAUCCGGAAUGAUUGGGCGUAAAGCGUCUGUAGGUGGCUUUUAAGUCCGCCGUCAAAUCCCAGGGCUUCAACCCUGGACAGGCGGUGGAAACUACCAAGCUGGAGUACGGUAGGGCAGAGGGAAUUUCCGGUGGAGCGGUGAAAGUGACGUAGAGAUCGGAAAGAACACCAACGGCGAAAGCACUCUGCUGGGCCGACACUGACACUGAGAGACGAAAGCUAGGGAGCGAAUGGG